rnacentral:rRNA from 1 species
CCUAUGAAAUCGAGUGGCAAACGGGUGAGUAACGCGUAAACAACCUGCCCUUCGGAUGGGGAUAACAGCCGGAAACGGCUGCUAAUACCGAAUACGAUCUUUUCGUCGCAUGACGGAAAGAAGAAAGGAUGGCCUCUAUACAAAGCUAUCGCCGAAGGAGGGGUUUGCGUCUGAUUAGCUGGUUGGAGGGGUAACGGCCCAACAAGGCGAUGAUCAGUAGCCGGUCUGAGAGGAUGAACGGCCACAUUGGGACUGAGACACGGCCCAGACUCCUACGGGAGGCAGCAGUGGGGAAUCUUCCGCAAUGGACGAAAGUCUGACGGAGCAACGCCGCGUGAGUGAAGAAGGUCUUCGGAUUGUAAAACUCUGUUAUACGGGACGAAAAGACGGAUGCCCACAGUAUCCGUCCGUGACGGU